AUUGAACGCUGGCGGCAGGCCUAACACAUGCAAGUCGAACGGAGUGGCGGACGGGUGAGUAAUGCCUGGGAAUCUGCCUGGUAGUGGGGGAUAACGUCCGGAAACGGGCGCUAAUACCGCAUACUAUCAGAUGAGCCUAGGUCGGAUUAGCUAGUUGGUGGGGUAAAGGCCUACCAAGGCGACGAUCCGUAACUGGUAUGAGAGGAUGCUCAGUCACAUUGUAACUGAGAAACGAGCCAGACUCAUACGGAAGGCAGCAGUGGGGAAUAUUGGAAAAUGGGAGAAAGCCUGAUCCAGCCAUGCCGCAUGUGUGAAGAAGGUCUUCGGAUUGUAAAGCACUUUAAGUUGGGAGGCGUGGCCAACAGAAUAAGCACCGGCUAACUCCGUGCCAGCAGCCGCGGUAAUAC
rnacentral:rRNA from 1 species